AUGAUAUGCUUCAAUUGUGGAGGCCGUGGUCACUAUGUGGGGAACUGUGUGAAGCCAAAAGCAUGUUUCAUAUGCCAGCAGAACCAUAAUGUCAAUAGUUGUGCAGUGUGGUCCAAAGUUCAUCCCGCUGCUGCUUUCUUUGGUAGUGGGGAAAGAGGGCUUGGUUUCUACCAUGUGGAUUGCCCUGUUGCCAAUGAGUCAAAAUGGUUGAAUUUUCAGAACUGUGUUGUGGUUAACAUUUUGAAAGGUGAAGUGGAUUACUAUAAGUUGAUGGAACUCCUGACUGCAAUAUGUUGCAAGACUAGACAAUGGCCUUGGCAGAUCAGAGGGUUAUCUAGCAAGACCUUCUUGGUUAGAUUUCCCCCUUGGAAGAAAGUUGAGGACCUUAUUGAGCUGCCUGGUUUCUCUUUACCACAGGAAGUGAAUGUUACUUUGACUGAAUGGAAGGGUGGAUGUGACCCUUUUGGGGAAUUGAUCGAAGCUUGGGUUCUGAUUGAGGGAAUUCCUCCUAAAUGGUGUACAUGGAAAGUAUUUGCUCAGAUUGCUUCUCUCUUUGGGGUUCUUACUGAUGUAGAUUGGAAUGGCAUGUUUAGAACCUUUUUUGAGAAUGUCAGGAUAAAAAAUGCUUGUAGAGAUCCUACCAAGAUUCCUUUUGAGAGGCUGAUUGAGAUGAAGAAGAAACUUUUCCUAUUAGGCUUUACUGUUGAAGGUUUUGAAUAGAUUGGGGGAGCAGACUCUGUUAUUGAUGUGGAGGAUGGUGAGGAUGAAGGAGAAGGAAUUGAAGAAGAUCAAACAGCAGAGGCAGUGGGGCCCAUGGAGAACAUGCAUCUAAUGGGUCUGGGGAUGGGGGUCUGGCCAUUGAUGAGAUAG
rnacentral:rRNA from 1 species